UGGGGAAUAUUGCACAAUGGGCGCAAGCCUGAUGCAGCCAUGCCGCGUGUAUGAAGAAGGCCUUCGGGUUGUAAAGUACUUUCAGCGGGGAGGAAGGUGUUGAGGCUAAUAACCUCAGCAAUUGACGUUACCCGCAGAAGAAGCACCGGCUAACUCCGUGCCAGCAGCCGCGGUAAUACGGAGGGUGCAAGCGUUAAUCGGAAUUACUGGGCGUAAAGCGCACGCAGGCGGUCUGUCAAGUCGGAUGUGAAAUCCCCGGGCUCAACCUGGGAACCGCAUUCGAAACUGGCAGGCUAGAGUCUUGUAGAGGGGGGUAGAAUUCCAGGUGUAGCGGUGAAAUGCGUAGAGAUCUGGAGGAAUACCGGUGGCGAAGGCGGCCCCCUGGACAAAGACUGACGCUCAGGUGCGAAAGCGUGGGGAGCAAACA
rnacentral:rRNA from 1 species